CAAACUGGCUCUUUUGAAAGAGUCCUGGUGAAAACAGUUCAUCAUGCAUCUUUGCCUCUCACACAUCAGUGAGCAUUCCCGCUUUUCUCUGCUCUCCUGAGUCCUCCCGACGCCAAGAGCAGAGGUCUUUCACCUUGGUGUUACGAGUGCCAAGUGGGACAAAGGACUACACUCCUGAAAAUCUCGUCUGAUCUCUUUUCUGAGAUCAACAGAUCUUUCGUUGUUUUCACUUAACAGACAUUCUUAGUGAGGACUUCUAACGUGCAAGAUGCUGAUUGGGCUGUUGUUACAGCCUACAGGAUACUUUUGAAGUUUUCGAGAGUUAAGGUAUAUUCCCUCUACGGCUUCCCUGGUGGCGCAGAGGUAAAGAAUCUGCCUGGAAUGCAGGAGACACGGGAGAUGCAGGUUCAAUCCAUGGCUCAGGAAGACGCCCUGGAGGAGGACAUGGCAACCCACUCCACUAUUCUUGCCUGGAAAAUCCCACGGACAGAGGAGCCUGGCAGGCUACAGUCCAUGGGGUCGCAGACUCAGACACAACUUAGUGACUGAACAACAUAUUCCCUCGAUGUCCAAUUUGUUGAAAAUUUUUUAUUAUGAAAGGAUGUUGUAUUUCCUCAAAUUCUUUUCUACAUCUCUUAAGAUGAUCUGAUUUUUAUUUUCCAUUUUAUUAAUCUAAUAGGAUUAACUUAUUAAUAAACUAUUGAUUUGCCUGUGUUGAACUAUCCUUGUAUUCUAGGGAUAAACUCCCUUGAUCAUGCUGUAUGAUCCCUAUAAUGUGCUGUUAAAUUCAGUUUGCAAGUACUUUAUCAAGAAUUUUUGCACCUAUAUUGAUCACCCAUAUUCAUCUGUAGUUUUCUUGUAAUGUUUUUAUUUGACAUUUUAAUCAGGACAAUGCGGGCCUUGUAAAAUGACUUUGGAAGUGUUCCCUCCUCCUCCAUUUCUUGAAAGAGUUUGAGAAAGAUUGGUGUUAUUCUUUAAAUGUUUGGUAGAACUCACCAAUGAAGCCACCUGGUUC
ensembl:lncRNA